rnacentral:rRNA from 1 species
AUUGAACGCUAGCGGGAUGCUUUACACAUGCAAGUCGAACGAGUGGCAGACGGGUGAGUAAUAUAUCGGACCGUGCCCAGUAGCGGGGGUAAACUCCUCGAAAGAGUGGCUAAUCCAGCUUUCCAUUGGAUCGGCCCAUAUCGGAGUAGCUAGGUGGUGGGGUAAAGGCUCACCAAGGCAACGAUCCGUAGCGGGUUUGAGAGGAGGACCAGCCACACUGGGAAUGAGGAACGACCUAGACUCCUACGGGAGGCAGCAGUGGGGAAUUUUGGACAAUGGGGGAAACCCUGAUCCAGCCAGCCCGCGGGUAUGAGAAGGCCUUAGGGUUGUAAAGUACUAUGGGCAGAGAAUCGGUAGCUGCAGAAUAAGCACCGGCUAACUACGUGCCAGCAGCCGCGGUAAUUC